rnacentral:snRNA from 1 species
GACGGUAUUGUCCCAGUG